rnacentral:rRNA from 1 species
CAUGGGGAAACCUGAUCUCCAUGCCGCGUGUGUAAGAAGGCCUUAUGGUUGUAAAGCACUUUAAGCGAGGAGGAGGCUACUGAGACUAAUACUCUUGGAUAGUGACGUUACUCGCAGAAUAAGCACCGGCUAACUCUGUGCCAGCAGCCGCGGUAAUACAGAGGGUGCGAGCGUUAAUCGGAUUUACUGGGCGUAAAGCGUGCGUAGGCGGCUUUUUAAGUCGGAUGUGAAAUCCCCGAGCUUAACUUGGGAAUUGCAUUCGAUACUGGGAAGCUAGAGUAUGGGAGAGGAUGGUAGAAUUCCAGGUGUAGCGGUGAAAUGCGUAGAGAUCUGGAGGAAUACCGAUGGCGAAGGCAGCCAUCUGGCCUAAUACUGACGCUGAGGUACGAAAGCAUGGGGAGCAAACAGGAUUAGAUACCCUGGUAGUCCAUGCCGUAAACGAUGUCUACUAGCCGUUGGGGCCCUUGAGGCUUUAGUGGCGCAGCUAACGCGAUAAGUAGACCGGCUGGGGAGUACGGUCGCAAGACUAAAACUCAAAUGAAUUGACGGGGGCCCGCACAAGCGGUGGAGCAUGUGGUUUAAUUCGAUGCAACGCGAAGAACUUUCCUGGUCUUGACAUACUAGAAACUUCCAGAGAUGGAUUGGUGC